rnacentral:rRNA from 1 species
AGUGAACGCUGGCGGUAGGCCUAACACAUGCAAGUCGAACGGCAGCACAGUAAGAGCUUGCUCUUACGGGUGGCGAGUGGCGGACGGGUGAGGAAUACAUCGGAAUCUACUUUUUCGUGGGGGAUAACGUAGGGAAACUUACGCUAAUACCUCAGACUACCUACGGGUGAAAGCAGGGGAUCUUCGGACCUUGCGCGAUUGAAUGAGCCGAUGUCGGAUUAGCUAGUUGGCGGGGUAAAGGCCCACCAAGGCGACGAUCCGUAGCUGGUCUGAGAGGAUGAUAAGCCACCCUGGCACUGAGAAACGGUCCAGACUCCUACGGGAGGCAGCAGUGGGGAAUAUUGGACAAUGGGCGCAAGCCUGAUCCAGCCAUACCGCGUGGGUGAAGAAGGCCUUCGGGUUGUAAAGCCCUUUUGUUGGGAAAGAAAAGCAGCAGGUUAAUACCCCGCUGUUCUGACGGUACCCAAAGAAUAAGCACCGGCUAACUUCGUG